rnacentral:rRNA from 1 species
GGUCCGGACACACUGAGGAUUGACAGACGGUUGACGCCCUUCGGGGCAAAGAGACAAAAUUUUUGGCUCUUUCAUGAUUAUGUGAUAGGUGGUGCAUGGCCGUUCUUAGUUCGUGGAGUGAUCUGUCUGCCCAAUCGCGUUUCAUAAAUCUUAAGCUCAAAAGGCAGUCUUACCUUCGGGUUGAGUUUUGCUGGGAGACUUUUGUGUGAACGCAACGGACGUGAUUGCAACCCCUUGUUGAUUGGCCAUCACGUAAGCUCACUUGUAAUUUAUUACAGUGUGGUAUUAUCUUAGCCAUUCCCUUUUAGUUGUGGCGUGAUUAACCACUCUAAAUUGUAACUCGGGGGACCGCUGUGAUUUUUCUUCAAACCGGAGGAAGGUUGCGGCAAUAACAGGUCUGUGAUGCCCUCAGAUGUCCUGGGCUGCACACGUGCUACACUGAUCUCCGCAGUUGGCAUGUGAUUUUCUCCAAUGACGAACCUAGUGGACUUGGCGUCUGUGCGCAUUCGUGUGCUAAUGACUGCCGUCACUUUAAACACUGGUCGUUAGACUCGUGCGAUCCCUCGGAAAACGUGAUUUCUGUUCCCAAACAAAGCACUUUCGUACUCUCGCUCAAACAAACUUUGAAACUCCUGGUAACUUUUUGAUUCUUUUCUUUGUCAUCUUUUCGUGUCAUCUUUUCGUCGCAACUCUCAAUUCACAGUGGGGACAGUCGUUUGUCAACUUUUCGUCUCGGUCUCAACUAGGAAUGCCUCGUACGAGUUGGUUCAUCAGACCACUCGGAAUACGUCCCUGCCCUUUGUACACACCGCCCGUCGCUUUUACCGAUGAAC